rnacentral:rRNA from 1 species
UUCGCCUGUUUUUCAAAAACAUGGUUUUUUGUUGGAAUAAAAAAUCUAAUCUGCCCAAUGAUUAAGAAUUGAAUGGCCGCGGUAUAUUGACCGUGCGAAGGUAGCAUAAUCAUUUGCUUUUUAAUUGGAGGCUGGAAUGAAUGAUUUGACGGAAAAGGUCUGUCUUAAUUUUAAGUUUUUAAGUUUACUUUUUAGUGAGAAGGCUAAAAUGUUAUCAAGGGACGAGAAGACCCUAUUAAGCUUUAUUUUUAUUAUUUUUUUGUUUUAUGUUUUCAUAUACAAAAAAUAGUGAAAAUUUUACUGGGGCGGUAGAGAAAGAGAAAGAUCUUUUUUUAAAAAUUAAAACAUUUAUGUUAAUUUUUGAUCCAUUAUUAAUGAUAAAAAGAAGAAGUUACUAUAGGGAUAACAGCGUAAUUUUUUCGGAGAGUUCAUAUCGGCGAAGAAGUUUGCGACCUCGAUGUUGAAUUAAAGAGUCAGUAAGGCGAAGAAGUUUUAUAUGAGGGUCUGUCGACUAAUUCC